rnacentral:rRNA from 1 species
AUGGCAUCCUCCAGCUCAUCCAACUCCACCCUUACCGGCCAAAUUACCGAGAAGCUCACCCGCACAAACUUCAUCCUCUGGCGCACACAGAUCACGCCGCAGCUCAGAGGCGCGGGCGUCUAUGGCUACGUUGACGGCAGCACGCCGGAACCAGCCAAGACAGUCGUCACCAAGGACAAGGACGGGAAGGAGACGGCCGCACCAAACCCCCUUCAUCCGAUCUGGUUCCGAGAAGAUCAACAGGUACUUGGUUAUCUUCUGAACAAUCUGUCCAAGGAAGUACUCGUGCAGGUGACCUCGAUCUGCCAUGCACACGAGCUAUGGACAGUGCUGGCGAACAUGUUUUCGUCCCAGUCGCUGUCGCGCAUCAACAACAUCCGCGUCGCCCUUGCGAACGCACAGAAGGGAAACCAGUCCGUUGCGACCUUCUUCGCGCACAUGCGCUCCCUCGCCGAUGAGCUUGCUGCUGCAGGCAAGCCACUCGGCGACGACGAGCUCAUCUCCUACAUCACGGCCGGCCUCGACAUGGAGUACCAACCCCUCGUCUCCGCCCUCGACGCCCGAACUCAGCCUGUCACCCUUGAUGAAUUGUAUGCUCAGAUGAGCAACUUCGAUCAAAGGGUGGCGCUGUUCCAGGGCACAAACUCUGGUGGUGGCGGCUUCAAGUCCUCUGCUAACGCUGCUGUGCGUGGCCGAGGUGGUGGAUCACGCUACCGCGGGCCAACCCGCGGCAGAGGAAACAACAGCAACAACACCCGCGGCGACCGCGGUGAUCGCGGUGACCGUGGCGACCGCGGCGACUCUCGCGGCAGUGGUGGCCGGCCCUCCUACACCAACAAUAGGGGCGGUCGCCGCAACUCCUCCAACAAGCGCCCCGACGCCGUACGUUGUCAGAUCUGUGGAAAACCCGGCCACACAGCCAAAGACUGUUGGUACAGGUUCGAUGACGACGGUGACUCGUCCUCGGAUGAGAAGGUGGCCGGGGCAGCUGAUGGCUCAUAUGGAGUAGACACAAACUGGUAUGUGGAUAGCGGUGCAACCAACCACAUCACCGGUGAACUCGAGAAGGUGACCAUGCGUGAGAAAUACUGCGGCAAAGACCACAUCCACACUGCUAGUGGAGAAGGUAUGAAGAUUCGUCAUGUUGGUCACUCAAUUAUUAAUACCCCCCAUAGAAAAAUUCAUCUUCGAAAAAUCUUGCAUGUCCCUAGUGCUCAUAAAAACCUUCUCUCCGUUCAUCGUAUUGCUAUUGAUAAUCAUGUCUUCCUUGAGUUUCACCCCUUCUAUUUUUUGAUCAAGGAUCAGGCAACGAAGAAGGUGCUUUAUCUAGGUAGAUGCGUUCGUGGGCUCUACCCUUUGAUUCCGGAGAUUAGAAGGUUCAAUAAACAAGUUUUCAGUGCCACCAAGCUAUCUUCAACACGGUGGCACGAUCGAUUAGGGCAUGCAGCUUUUCCUUUAGUUAAACGUUUGCUUAGGAAAAAUAAACUCUCAUAUGUUGGAGAGCACAAUGUCGAAACAAUUUGUGAUUCAUGUCAGAAAGCUAAAAGUCAUCAGUUGCCGUAUUCUAUUUCCACUAGUAUUUCUACCAAGCCUUUACAACUCAUUUUUUCUGAUGUUUGGGGACCUGCCCCAGCGUCUGUUGGUAGACAUGCAUACUACGUGAGUUUCAUUGAUGAUUUUAGCAAAUUCUCUUGGAUCUAUCUUCUUAAGAAGAGAUCCGACGUGUUUCAAGUCUUUCUCAAUUUCCAAGCUCUCGUUGAACGCAAGUUUGACACCAAAAUCAUCGCCCUCCAAUCUGAUUGGGGAGGUGAAUAUGAGAAGCUAAACUCAUUUUUCCAAAAACUUGGCAUAGCCCAUCACGUGUCAUGUCCGCAUGCCCAUCAACAGAAUGGGUCUGCCGAGCGCAAACACAGGCACAUAGUAGAAGUUGGCCUUGCUCUCUUGGCAAGAGCAUCCAUGCCACUCAAGUUUUGGGAUGAAGCAUUCCUUACGGCCGUUCAUCUCAUAAAUAUAUUGCCUAGUCGGGUCAUUAACAAUGACACACCCACUGAAAGACUCCUUCAUACCAAGCCUGACUACAACUCUCUUCGUGUUUUUGGCUGUGCCUGUUGGCCAAAUCUUAGACCAUAUAACAAUCGCAAGCUCAUGUAUCGAUCAAAACAGUGUGUCUUCAUUGGAUACAGUGCACAACAUAAAGGAGUCAAGUGCCUUGAUGUCUCCACCGGUCGAGUAUACAUAUCACGUGAUGUUGUUUUCGAUGAAACCAAAUUCCCCUUUGCUGAUCUUCAUCCCAAUGCCGGCGCACUCCUUAGAAAAGAAAUUCUUCUUCUACCGUCGCAUCUUUCCGGUAUUGAUCAUGGGGGAGAAAAUAAUUGUGAUGAUCAUACGUUGACUAAUCCUCAUAACCCUGUGCAUGAGUCUGAUGAUGCAGAUACAGCAGCUGAUGAUGAAGAAAACGGUGCAAAAAUCGCUGAAAAUGAUGAAGAAACCAGGCGACAUUUUAUGUGCCAGAAUCUUGGAGGCAUAUCCUCCUCGGGAUUGGAACGGCAGCAGUUCGGCAGCGAAUCUGCUCCGGGACUCGUGCGGCAGCAGGGCGGCGGCAGCGCAGAAACCGCGUCGCCUGCGCUUGCGCCCAUCAGGAGCCGCGCCAACGACUCUGAUUCCGCCACGCGGGCGCCACCGACCGGUCCAGACGCUCCGUCGGGCCCGCGCCAGUCUAGUCACUCCACGCGGCAGGCCGAGAGCCGCUGGCCCGCGAGUGGGCCUCGCUGCUACGCGCGCCGCCCGCAAACCGGCGCUGAUCCAAUCAGGGGGUCGGGCGCGCGAUCCGGAGCGGAUUCUGCCGCUGAUUUGUCCAGGGGCCCAGGCGCGCGAUCCAGGGCGGAUCCUGUCGCCGCCACAGGGACUGGUGCGGGAUCUUCUGCGCCGCCUACGCCCGCUCCGUCAUCUGCAACAGCCACAGAAGAUCCGGCUGCGCCUGACGCGGCUGCAACACCAGGAGAAUCCACCUCGGGAUCGGCUGGUGCAGAUUCUCCCGGAUCUUCUGUGCCCGUGUCUUCACCACGCCUUCCACGCACGCGUCUACAAAAGGGAGUGAUUCAGCCUAUAAAUUAUAAAACCAAGUUUGGUCCUGCAUGUUACACAGGAGAACCACGCACACUUGAUGAGGCCCUAGGAGAUGCACGGUGGAGGAAAGCUAUGGAAGAAGAACACGUGGCACUCCAGAAAAACAAAACGUGGCAUUUGGUUUCCCCACCACGAGGUAAAAACUUGAUCGAUUGCAAGUGGGUUUACAGAAUUAAAAGUAAAUCUGAUGGAACCAUAGACCGCUAUAAGGCCAGACUUGUAGCUAAAGGUUACAAACAGCGAUAUGGUAUUGACUAUGAGGAUACUUUUAGUCCUGUUGUAAAGGCUGCUACUAUUCGUCUUGUGUUAUCAAUUGCUGUUUCCAGGGGCUGGAGACUUAGGCAGCUAGAUGUACAGAACGCGUUUCUGCAUGGUGUUCUGGAAGAGGAAGUAUACAUGAAACAACCUCCCGGGUUCGUCGACAAAAACUCACCCUCUCAUGUUUGUAGGCUUGAUAAAGCUCUUUAUGGACUAAAGCAGGCACCCCGAGCAUGGUACUCACGUCUCAGUCAAAAGUUACAAGCACUUGGCUUUGUUCCAUCCAAAUCAGAUACUUCAUUGUUCAUUUAUAGAAAGGCAAAUACAUGA